rnacentral:rRNA from 1 species
AGGAUUAACGCUGGCGGCGUGCCUAACACAUGCAAGUCGAACGAGGUAGCAAUACCUAGUGGCAGACGGGUGAGUAACGCGUGGUCAACCUACCGUUGAGUGGGGGAUAACUAGCCGAAAGGUUAGCUAAUACCGCAUACGUCUCCGAGGGGCAUCCCUUGGCGAUAAAAGGAGCAAUCCGCUCGAUGACGGGACCGCGUCCCAUUAGCUAGAUGGUGGGGUAACGGCCUACCAUGGCACCGAUGGGUAGCUGGUUUGAGAGAGCGACCAGCCACACUGGGACUGAGAAACGGCCCAGACUCCUACGGGAGGCAGCAGUGAGGAAUUUUCCGCAAUGGGCGCAAGCCUGACGGAGCGACGCCGCGUGUGGGAAGAAGGCCUUCGGGUCGUAACCACUGUCGAAGGGGACUAUACUGAAGGUACCCUUGGAGGAAGCCCCGGCUAACUACGUGCCAGCAGCCGC